CGGCCUUCCUCUUGAGCAGGGGUGUCAAACUCAGGUCCUGGAGGGCCGCUGUCCUGCACGUUUUCCAAGUCUCUCUGUUGCAAGACACCUGAUUCAAAUGAACAGGUUCAAUGGCAGGCUUCCACAGAGCUUGCUGAUGAUCUGAUCAUUUGAAUCAG